GAGCUCGCUUUUUCUGGGGACAGAGAGUGAGGCCUGGACACCCGGCGCCGGCCCAGGCCUGGCCGCGGGGAGCCGAAGGGCGACGAGUCCGGCGACGAGGCCGUGUCGCUGUCGGGGGCCCGGCAGAGGCGCAGGUCCGGGGCGGAGACGUGCAGCCGGGACUGCGCCGCGGGGAGUCCCCCGGCCGGGGCAGGUGGCGGCCCGUGGAACAGGGAUUCCCGCCGGCGCGUGUGCGGGCUCUCGGGCAGGAAGGCCCAGCCUUCGCGGCCCGCCAGGGCCGAGAGGGUCCAAAUCCCGUCUCAGAUGGGAGUGCUCGGCGGAGCGGGGCUGGGCGAGGAGCGCAGAGGAGUCAGAGGCUAGUCAAGUGAAGCAAUGGGAGUGGAGAUGGAACAAAGAAAUCUGCAAUUGGUUGUGAUCAAUUAGUUGUAAACACUACUGCACUUGGACCAACCUCUUCCUUUUCCUGACUGCUUAGGAAGGAUGGAAUGUAUUUCCUUCCUUCUGGGAGUGUUUGAAUGAAGAUUAGACUCUCCUUGACCAUGAAUGAAGAGCAACCAGUUUUUUAGUAUACAGUGAUUUAGACUCUGGGUCUAGAGUGUAGAUAUCAUGGGCACUGUGAAAGCACAGAAGGAGAAAAGGUUUUUAUUUUGGUGGGGCUUUGUGUCUGAAUUCUGGCCAAUGGAACCACGUGGAGGCCUGGCCCAGAACAUCUCCCUGUGGAUUCUCUCAUCUGGCAACUGGAUGCCUACACGAAGGGUGAUUUUGGAGUCAUGUGUUGGAGAUCACAAAGCUUUUGUCAGCCAGGUUCCUGAAUGACUGCUAGACACCAUGGGCUGAACUUUAUGAGCUCCAGCACCACCUCCAGCCUUCAGUGACUGUCUGGAGCAGGCAUCCGGAUGGAAGAGAAGGGGGACAACCAUGAACUUGGUGACCCACGGUCAGCCUGAUUUCCCUUGUGGACACAUUUAUGCCCAGUGUGCAUUCCUCCUGAGGUCUGUUCCAAGUCUGGAGGCAGCAGAGUAGAGUGGAGAGAACAGUGGACUUGGAAUCUCACCUCCCAGAUUAGAGUCCUGGAUCUGACUUUGAUUGCUGGUGCUGCCUCGGGCAAGUUACUUUAGCUGUGUGCAUCUCCAUUUCCCCAUGGAUAGAACAUGGGUUUUGGGUAGAAGUGUCUGAUAGCUGUACUGUGCUUUACGGUUCAUGAGCACGCACACAUAGGCCCAUAAUAUCAUAUCUCUGGUCACCCUGGCAGGUAGAUAUUAUUGCCCCAGGUUUCAGGUAAGAAGACUAAAGACCAGGGGUCAAUUGCUUGCUCAGAGUCCCACAGCCAGCAGCAGCCAGGCAGGACACCAAGUCAGAGUCUAGAUUCCGGAUCUUGCCCUCUUCCAAGUGUACCACAUUCUUCUCAAAGUGGCCUCUCAGGUCUUUUGUCCAGAAAAUUUUGAGACUUUGAUGAGAAGCCCAUAUCUGCACACUGGGGAUUAGGCCAGAUAACCCUGUGUGUCCUUCCAGGCCUGGUAUUGUGAGGCUGAAGCCUAGUGCCCCACACUCCCUUCCUCACCCCUUAGAGAAAGAUAGAGACUCCAGGGCCAGCCUGGUGGGUGCUGAACCUGCCCUGCUGAGCCAAGCCCAGGAGGCAGCCAAGGUCCUACCAGUGACCUUACCCUGGGGGCCCCUCCAGGUAGGAGCCUGGUUGGAAAAGACAGACCGACUUCUUCUGGGUUGGCUGGAAAAAGAUGACAUACUCAAAGCCUUGUCCUUCCACUUGGAUGCACCUGGUGAAGAUGCGACAGUCACCUUUGUCUGGGGAGAGAUAGGCAGUGUUGCAGCCGGAGAAGGGAGGGUAUGGUCAGGAUGCAGCACCAUUUGGUUGAGUCUUGCCUCUGGUACAAGAUUAAGGAGAGAAAACCAGAGGACACCAGGUCCACCCCCAGGGAGCCUUCCCUCUGGGAGCAGAGGCACAGUUGCUGUCCUCACAGAGCCUUUCUGUCUAGGGCAGAAACAUGCAGGAAGUGCCCUGGCUGAGAAUGGAGAUAGGAUCAGGGCCAGGGCAAGACUUUAAGAGACCAUAAGCAUUGAAAAUUGAAAAUGUAAUUACUCAUGUAACUCACAUAUAAUUCAAAAGAAUAAUAGUAAACAGUAAAAUAAGAGCAGAAAAGUCCAUCAAAGUUCUGAUUUUUUUUUUCCAAGACAGCUACCACUACUACAUCCUUUUUUGGAAGUAUCAAAUUCUUUGAAAAAAAAUUAUGUUGGUAUUCCUGCUUUGUUUGUGCCAUAAACCCAAGGGUAGUCUGUCCCCUGUACCACUCCUUCAUCACUAGGCAGGAAGACAACAUAUAUGAGUGAGAGAGACAGGGAGAUACACAUGCGUGCACACACGAGUGCACACACACACACAAGAAGGUGGAAGCUCUAUCAUUAGGAUCCAUUAGGAUCAUUAGGUGUUUCAGGAGUGCUGCUCCAGACCCCGCACAGCAGGGAUGAUGUGCAGGGCCUCAGUGGAAGGGGUGUGGGGUCCAAGGGCUUUCAUGGGGUUGGGGCGGAAGGCUUGGGAUGAGGCUUGAUAGUUAGGGAGGGGCAGUCAGUGAGAAGUCGGGGCAGGAGCUGGGCUGGCUGUCCUCCAGUGGGGACAUGCUUGGCUGGGAGCGAAGGUGGGCCCACCAGGGUGUGCUGCUUCAGAUGGGAGGAGGGGAGCUGGAGACCUGAGAGGACACCCGCCGCCUGUUGCCUGGGGCUGCAGCAUCAGGGGUGGAGUUGGACAGCAGGAAGAACUCGCUGAGAACUGGAAGGCGGUCUGUGAAGUUGCUUCUCAGUCUUAGAACACAGGGAAGGGCGGCUGGGGUGUGUGUACUCAUGGUCCUGUCCUUACCUGAGGAAACUGCCAGUCCAGAUGGGAGCUUGAGUCCCCGGAUGUGGUCUCUGUUGGACUUGAAGGAGGGCAGCUUGAUCCAGCCGCUAGACUUAGUCUUCUCCAGAAAUUCUUGGUACAGGCUCAGCAUGUCCGAACACCAGCUGGCAUUGGGAAGAGCAUAAUCCUUCAAGUCUGUCUUCUCUGGCAAGAAUCUUGAGAACUGGGCAGGAAAAAUCAGAAUGACUAGACAGCAUCCUGGAGGGGGGCUGCUGCCUGGGCUCGGGACCUCUAAACAGCUGUUCCUGGGUGCUGGGGCUUCUCAAUCCCUUCUGCCAGAGUAUCGAUCCAAGGGAAAGGGCCCAUAUUCCUUGCAGGGGGGCUGCGGACCCCUAUGGGUGACGGGGCAUAAGGAUGCUAAAGAGCAAGGGAAGGGCGGGCAGGGAGUGGGGCCAGAGAUGAUGGGCAUGCUGCUCGAUGUGGUGCCUUACCCUUGUUCUGCUUAAAACAUGUGAGCAGUUCUUUAAAGUUGACAACUGCUCAUAUUAGCCUCACUGUACAGAUGGGGAAACUGAGGGAAUACGGCCAAGGUUGCCAAGCAUGUGACUGUGAGAGCUGGUGGUCGCACUAGAUGCUGUCUCCUCUGCAGGGCAGGGUCACAGUUGUUGAGGACCAUUCUAGCAACCCCCACCUCAGGGGCUACUCCAGCUCUGCCCACUGCUGUGGGCCUGCCUGGGCAGGGUGGCUCCUUUGAAACACAUUUGGGCCCCCACAGAGGUGUGGUGCCAUGGCUGGGGCACAGACUAUGUGCCCAUCUGUGUGACGUAAGGAAGUCCUCUGUAGCGUCACCUGCUCAUACACCAGUCACAACUGUAGACAGCAUGUGAGCUGCUUGCCAAUGCCACAGAUGGGGUCCUCUGUCUGGGGAUACCCCAGCUUUGCUGCAGUAGUCUGAGUCCCACAGGAGGAAAGUCAUUUGUUGGUGGCCACACAAGACACAGAGCCAGAUGCAGGUCUCCUGGUAGUUUUAGUUUUGAAUGGGGGCAACUUGGUAUCCCAGAGCACUUUCUCUUUGCCAAAUCAAAUAGCUCCUCCGAACACUGCCCACCUGCCCUGGCCAUGGGCUGGGAAGAGGAGAUUUGGGGUGCUCCUUAAGCCCUAGGCUCCUGGGAAAACACUGCCCAUCUGGCUGAGCUGGGAACUCACCAUGGAGUCUGUGGAGGAUCCAAAUGCUGAGGCAGGGUUGAGUCUGGGCAGGAUACGGGGGGCCUCAAGAAGGCCUCUGUGGUGGCCAAGUCUUGCUGCCACCUGGAAGCAUCUCCUUAUCAUGGCCAAGUGCAAGGAUCCAGCCCUGCUUGGAUGGAGGGUCUUGGCUGACUCCCAAGGAGUGCUUUCAGCUGCACUUGGGGCCGCUUCUCUCCCUUCUGUUGCAGGCUUUCUUUCAGAGAGCUAGGCGAGGCUGGGCUGGUGUGCUGCAACACCCACAGAUGCUCGGCGCCUUUAGCUGGUCUAGGAGCCCCACCCAGUGCUUGGGGAGGGACAGAUGCUGCUUGGGCAUGAAAAGGCAGCAGGACUGGCUUGAGUUGCAAAAGGAGUAAACAAGUACAUAAACAAAUAGUAUGGGGUAUAUAGAGCCUUGGAGAGCUGCCUGGGGGUUCUGAGGGAGAAUCCAAGAAUAUUUCCAGAAGGAUAAGGGAAGCCUGUCCCUUGAUUGGAGGGUGCUGGUGGAGUGUUCUUGGUAUGUGCUCUGCAGUGUAUACCGGACUCUGAAAACUCUGGUAUGAUUUUGUGACUCAGAAAACCAACUCACAGGCCGGGUGCGGUGGCUCACGCCUGUAAUCCCAGCACUUUGGGAGGCCGAGGCGGCGGAUUACGAGGUUAGGAGAUCGAGACCAUCCUGGCUAACACGGUGAAACCCCGUCUCUACUAAAAAAAAUACAAAAAAUUAGCCGGGCGUGGUGGCGGGUGCCGGUAGUCCCAGCUACGCAGGGGGCUGAGGCAGGAGAAUGGCGUGAACCUGGGAGGUGGAGCUUGCAGUGAGCUGAGAUCUAGCCACCGCACUCCAGCCUGGGCGACUGAGCGAGACUCCGUCUCAAAAAAAUAAAAAUAAAAAAAUAAAAAAAAAGAAAACCAACUCACAGCCUUAGACACCUCUUUUUUUUUUUUUUUUUUUUUUUUGGUGAGACGGAGUUUCAAUCUUGUCGCCCAGGCUGGUGUGCAAUGGCGUGAUCUCGGCUCACUGCAACCUCCGCCUCCUGGGUUCAAGUGAUUCUCCUGCCUCAGCCUCCUGAGUAGCUGGGAUUACAGACACACACCACCACACCCAGCUAAAUUUUGUAUAUUUUUUUUAGUAGAGAUGGGGUUUUGCCAUGUUAGCCAGGCUGGUCUUGAACUCCUGACCUCAGGUGACCUCCCAAAGUGCUGGGAUUACAGGCGUGAGCCACCGCACCCGGCCAACACCUCUUCUUAUAUCCCGGACAAGGGUUAGCACAGGAGAGUUUCACCUGCUGGUCUCUGGCUGGGGAUAGGAGUUGGAGGUGGGGGAGGGCUUGACAGGGAGGGCAGAAAAUAAUUUGGGAGGAAACAGCUUGGCAGGGAUACUCUCAUUUUUAAAUUGACUAAAAUAAAAGCAUGUUCUAAAGAUCAGUCCUCGCGCAGUGGCUCAAGGCUGUAAUCUCAGCAUUUUGGGAGGCCGAGUGAGACCUUGUCUUAAAAAAAAAAAAAUCAGAACUGUGCAAAGGUGGAAUCAUAACAGUGAUGAUGACGAUAAUAAUAGUUGUGAUGAUUAUGACAUUUUGGCAGGUUCCAAAAGAUGAAACUGAUUUAAUGCGGAAAUUUAAAAGAUUUGGUUCACCCUCUGUAUUUGGUUGCCCUAGAAGAAGACUAGAAUAUAAAUAUUUCCCCUCACCUCCUGCAAAGGUUUGAAUUAAACUUCCUCAAGGACUGGGGGAACCAUUUUUUUUUGUUGUUGUUAUUUUGUCAGAGUCUCACUCUUAUUGCCCAGGAGUGCAGUGGCACCAUCUCGGCUCACUGCAACCUCUGCCUCCCAGGCUCAAGCAAUUCUCCUGCCUCAGCCUCCCAAGUAGCUGGGAUUACAGGCGCUUGCUACUACGCCCGGCUAGUUUUUAUAUUUUUAGUAGAGACGGGGUUUCAUCAUGUUGGCCAGGCUGGUCUCAAACUCCUGGCCUUGGCUGAUCUGCCUGCCUCAGCGUCCCAAAGUGCUGGGAUUACAGGCAUGAGGCACCACGCCCAGCUGGAAGUUUUUUUGGUUGAUUCAGCCUCUGGGUCUAAGCAAAGAUAUUUGAGUUGGUUGCCAUCCCCAGAUAAGUGAGAAUAUCUGGCAGCACUCAUUUUCAGCCCUGGGCCGCAGCCGUUGCUGUGAGGCAGAAAUUAAAAAAAGAUAGUAAGUACUACAUUCAUUCACUCCAAGAAAAGUAACAGACAAGGCUAUAAGAAGGUCAUAGUGACCUAGUCUGAGAAGUAAAAGCCAAGGCCCAGAAUGUGGCAAGGCAAAGGUUAAAAAGAAAGGAAGAGCAAGUUUUUCUCUGCCUAGCAAGCUCACUUCAAAGACAAUUAUAAGAUAAUGCUCUUCGAGAAGUCGAAACCAAAGGAAUAGGCUCCAGACAUCCCCCGUCUGGAGCAAGGGUGAAGGAAAAAAAAAAAAGGACAAAUGUCUGUCUGUAUUUAGCCAGUUCUUGUUUUUUCUUUCCACGCAGCUACAAGGCCACCAGCUAUGCAAAGCCACAAGUUAUGCCAAGUCAUCAGUUAUGCUAUAGAUUAUGUGACCUGUCAUUAUAUGAUUAACUGCCUGUUUUGCUUCUGUAAGCCUGCUUAUAAAAAUCCUGCUCAGUCUUUGUUCAAUGCUCAGCUUUUUGGAUGUGAAUCCACUGAGCCAAUGCCUACCUUAAAAUAAACAUCGUCCUGUUUUUCCAUA
rnacentral:lncRNA from 1 species